GGGAACAUGAGCAACAUGACAACAUAUCCACGUGCUGAAAUCCACCCCAUGAAGUCCAUUGAUCGUACGAGAUAAGAGUUCUCCUGUGUGUGUGUGUGUGUGUGCGUGUGCAUGCGUGUGAGAAAGAGAGAGUUGCUGCUCGCAGCCUGCUUUCACAUAACCCAGAUCUGUUUCUCAGAAAUGUCACAGGUUUCAGGUGUGUCGGAUCGUACGAGCUGCAGAAGAAAACCACAUGCGUGUGUCAGCAGUGGGAGAAACGAACGCUGGAAGGCCAGCACAUCCUCAAAGCAGCUCCCUUGCAGACGUGCAAGUCUGUUUGUGGCACCACCCACACGAGCGUGCUUGUGUUUUUGAAGAGAACACGAAAAGAUGAGAACGUACCUCUUGCUCGGACGCAACGCCAGAAGAAGCAGGGGAGUGUUGCCGCCAACAAGACGACGAGUGAAACCACAAGGACAGCAAAGAUUGGGCCAAAAAAGAGAGGAGAACUUUCUCUAGGAAGAGAGAGUCAACAGGAACUUAGACCUAGAAUGACAGCGCUGAAACGGCUACCUUGUGCACUGCGAACACCUCCUGUCUUCCGAGCUGAUGUGAAAUGUAAGCUAAAAAAAACAAACAAAC